rnacentral:rRNA from 1 species
GCGCUGCAUUAGCUAGUUGGUAAGGUAACGGCUUACCAAGGCAACGAUGCAUAGCCGACCUGAGAGGGUGAUCGGCCACACUGGAACUGAGACACGGUCCAGACUCCUACGGGAGGCAGCAGUAGGGAAUCUUCCGCAAUGGGCGAAAGCCUGACGGAGCAACGCCGCGUGAGUGAUGAAGGUCUUCGGAUCGUAAAACUCUGUUAUUAGGGAAGAACAUAUGUGUAAGUAACUGUGCACAUCUUGACGGUACCUAAUCAGAAAGCCACGGCUAACUACGUGCCAGCAGCCGCGGUAAUACGUAGGUGGCAAGCGUUAUCCGGA